UACGUAGGGUGCGAGCGUUGUCCGGAAUUAUUGGGCGUAAAGAGCUUGUAGGCGGUUUGUCGCGUCUGCUGUGAAAAUCCGGGGCUCAACCCCGGACUUGCAGUGGGUACGGGCAGGCUAGAGUGUGGUAGGGGAGACUGGAAUUCCUGGUGUAGCGGUGGAAUGCGCAGAUAUCAGGAGGAACACCGAUGGCGAAGGCAGGUCUCUGGGCCACUACUGAUGCUGAGAAGCGAAAGCAUGGGGAGCGAACAGG
rnacentral:rRNA from 1 species